UAUGACAUUGAAGUCUCAGCUUGGCCAGAGAGCCUGGACACCCCAUGACAGCUCGCCAUUAACCAACGGCCCAAAUGAACCCACAAGUGGCUCCCAGCUGUAGUGGGGCCUAUAAAGAGUGAGGAGAGAGGUGGCGUAGUCUGGUCGCUGACGUAGCCUGUGGGACAGCUGAGGCCGUGUGGGGGGUACAGAUCGCCAGGCAGCUGUGAGCUCCAGUGCUGGGACGACUGUCUGUGGAUUUAGCUCUCUGUGGACAUGUCUAGAUACUGUGUCUUUAUUUCCAAUGGCCAACCCGCUGGACAAGAGGCCUGUACUGUGUGUGCUCACCGAAAUGAAUGCUGCUCUGUUAGAACUUUUCCAAAGCCGUGCCAACUGUCCUCUGCCUGUCUGAUGUCUGUAAAGCUGACCUAAAACACGUAGUUUAAUGUACCAAUUAGGGGCGUGAUGACAUUUCGAAAAUGGAUUUGGUAAAAGAGAUGCUACAGUUUUCUAAGUAUAUAAACGUCAUUGCAUAAUUCA